AUUGAACGCUGGCGGCAGGCCUAACACAUGCAAGUCGAGCGGAGCGGCGGACGGGUGAGUAAUGCCUAGGAAUCUGCCUGGUAGUGGGGGAUAACGUCCGGAAACGGGCGCUAAUACCGCAUACUAUCAGAUGAGCCUAGGUCGGAUUAGCUCGUUGGUGGGGUAAAGGCCUACCAAGGCGACGAUCCGUAACUGGUCUGAGAGGAUGAUCAGUCACACUGGAACGUAGACACGGGCCAACCGCCUACGGGAGGCAGCGGUGGGGAAUAUUGGACAAUGGGCGAAAGCGUGAUCCAGCGAUGCCGCGUGUGUGAAGAAGGUAUUAGGAUUUUAAAGCACUUUAAGUUGGGAGGCGUUACCAACAGAAUAAGCACCGGCUAACUACGUGCCAGCAGCCGCGGUAAUUC
rnacentral:rRNA from 1 species